GGGGCCAUAGCUAAGCUGGGAUAGCGCUUCGCUGGCAGCGAAGAGGUCAGGGGUUCGAACCCCCUUGGCUCCACCA
rnacentral:tRNA from 1 species